rnacentral:rRNA from 1 species
AGUAGUUUGAUCCGUGGCUACGAGGACGACGCUGGCGGCGUGCUUAACACAUGCAAGUCGAACGGAAAGGCCUCUUUCGGGGGGUACUCGAGUGGCGAACGGGUGAGUAACACGUGAGUAACCUGCCCUUGACUUUGGGAUAACUUCAGGAAACUGGGGCUAAUACCGGAUAGGAGCUCCUGCUGCAUGGUGGGGGUUGGAAAGUUUCGGCGGUUGGGGAUGGACUCGCGGCUUAUCAGCUUGUUGGUGGGGUAGUGGCUUACCAAGGCUUUGACGGGUAGCCGGCCUGAGAGGGUGACCGGCCACAUUGGGACUGAGAUACGGCCCAGACUCCUACGGGAGGCAGCAGUGGGGAAUAUUGCACAAUGGGUGGAAGCCUGAUGCAGCAACGCCGUGUGCGGGAUGACGGCCUUCGGGUUGUAAACCGCUUUCGCCCAUGACGAAGCUUUGUGUGACGGUAGUGGGUAAAGAAGCACCGGCUAACUACGUG